rnacentral:rRNA from 1 species
UACGUAGGGGGCUAGCGUUGUCCGGAAUCAUUGGGCGUAAAGCGCGUGUAGGCGGUCCGGUAAGUCCGCUGUGAAAGUCGGGGGCUCAACCCUCGGAUGCCGGUGGAUACUGUCGGGCUCGAGUCCGGAAGAGGCGAGUGGAAUUCCUGGUGUAGCGGUGAAAUGCGCAGAUAUCAGGAGGAACACCAAUGGCGAAGGCAGCUCGCUGGGACGUGACUGACGCUGAGGAACGAAAGCUAGGGGAGCAAACAGG